AGCAAUCUAAUCUUUUAUGUUAUCCACUGUCAGUUUUCCCGAUCAUGAUUCUAUUUUAUCUGGGGUCUGCUGUGGACUUCCCAGAUACUCUCUGACAAGCCAGACACCUAUUUGAUCCUGCUGUACUUAGAGCCACACAGACAGAUUUACAUUACUUUGAGCUUGACUAGUUAUAAGAUAUAGCCAUUCUGUUGCCACUUGGCCAGUACGACUAGGGUUACCUUAUUGCAUCU